rnacentral:rRNA from 1 species
AGUGAACGCUGGCGGCGUGCUUAACACAUGCAAGUCGAACGAGAACGGAAUAUAGCUUGCUAUAUUUGUCAGCUAAGUGGCGCACGGGUGAGUAAUGUAUAGAUAACCUGCCCUUAAGAAAGGAAUAACAGUUGGAAACGACUGCUAAUGCCCUAUAUGCCUUUAAUACAUAAGUAUGCAAGGGAAACGCUUUAGUGCUUAAGGAUGGGUCUGUAUGGUAUCAGCUUGUUGGUGAGGUAAUGGCUCACCAAGGCUAUGACGCCUAACUGGCUUGAGAGGAUGAUCAGUCACACUGGAACUGAGACACGGUCCAGACUCCUACGGGAGGCAGCAGUGGGGAAUAUUGCACAAUGGACGAAAGUCUGAUGCAGCAACGCCGCGUGGAGGAUGACACAUUUCGGUGCGUAAACUCCUUUUAUAUAGGAAGAUAAUGACGGUACUGUAUGAAUAAGCACCGGCUAACUCCGUGCCAGCCGCCGCGGUAAAAC